AUCUAACACUACUAAAAGCCGAAUAAGGAGAGCAACGAGCGUGCCACGUAGGAUUUUUUAUUCAGGCCAAUAAGAUUUAUUUGCUUCGACACGUCAGAACAGCAUUGUCUACAGAAACUGGGCCUCUAUGUGGUUUCCAACAAAAUUAACAUGGCCAUGUGGAGCCCGACAAUUACAAUUCAACUUCUCAAUUCUCUGUGAUCGACUAAUCCACUAUAUCUUCUAUCUCUGUAACCCCCUC
rnacentral:lncRNA from 1 species